CGUGUCAUGCCAUAACGUAUUCCACUAAUCUACCUACACAGUUGAGAAAUAUAUUAGUUGUAAUAUACAUAUCAGAUUUUGUAACAACUUAAUAAAUACAGUUUGAAAUUUUUACAAUGAUUUGUCACGAUGUAGAAUCUAAGUAAUCAUCAGUCUUCCUAGAAUGGUGUAUGACUUCCUAUAACCGCAGCUAGCCUAUGGAUGACCCAAUUACCGUAUCUACAAUAAGUAAAUAAUAAAAUUAAAUUAAUUAAAAUAUACGUAUAAGAGUUUUUAUAGUUCUAAUGAAUAAUUUUGAUAUAUAUUUCUUACCAAUAUGUCGGCCACAAUAUGUGUGCCAAUGGAGCUGUCCGUAUGUCUGAUCGGAUCCUACUGGACGAUCCGAUUAUAUCGGACUCUCUGCCACUUAAUGGAGUACUCCUCGCUACUCCACUGGUCGCAAAGGGCCUCCCGUAUGUCCGUCUGCAUCCAGUGAUUCCUAUAGGAUCUCCAGUUCGAUGGUGAUUGAGAAUCGAAAUGCUCAAUGGCAAACUGCCUAAGGCUAUGUAGCCCAUCUUGAAACCUACAUAUGGCUACC
rnacentral:lncRNA from 1 species